UAGUGAAAUAACUGUCAAAUAUUUGAUUUUAAUUGAAUUUUAAGCUCUACCAAACAAGCUCUUAACUUCCUUAGUUCUGAGAUUGUACGUAUUUAUUUGUCAGAUUCUUGUUCUCUAUAAUUUCCUUCUUCUGUAACUCUCAUUCUUAAUUCAUACGGUAAAAUUUGGAAUGGUUUCCUAAUUCUUGUAAAGUUGGUUUCAAUUUCUUGUAAACCUGUACUCUAAAUGUUAAUAGUGCAAUUUCAAUCGCUGCACGCCUUAAUGCACUAAGGAACUGUGAUUGCUAUGCUUUUUCUCAAAUUUCAGAUUGCAUUUUGCUUACCAACUUGCACAUUUCUCCAAAAGACGUUCAAUUUUUGAGCUUCUUAUGAAGAGCGACUUACCAAACUAAGCAUGGGAGGUGGAAGGAGAGAAAGAAAAUGUGGUGUGCCAGAUAAUUGACAAUCCCACCAUAUCGAGUACAAUAUUUCAUCCUUUUACGAUUACUUAACAUUAAAUUUUAUUCAUCAUCCGAUACAUGCAUUCUUAUGCACUAAUGGUACGUUUAGUAAGGUGGAUUAGGACACCACCCAUAUGAUAGUAUUGAAGAAGAUAAAGAAACCAAAAUUAUUAUGUCAAAUUAUGUCUAGUAUUGUCUACCAAACAUGUCCUAAUUAAUUAUCAAUAGGAAGAUUGUUGUCCUUAUUGAACCGGAUUAGUGCUUUAAAUAUUUAUCUUUGGUAUCA